UACGUAGGUGGCAAGCGUUGUCCGGAUUUACUGGGCGUAAAGAGCGCGCAGGCGGCCAAGUCAGUCGAAUGUGAAAGCCCCCGGCUCAACUGGGGAGGGUCAUUCGAUACUGCUCGGCUCGAAGACAGGAGAGGGAAGUGGAAUUCCCGGUGUAGUGGUGAAAUGCGUAGAUAUCGGGAGGAACCCCAGUGGCGAAGGCGACUUUCUGGCCUGUUCUUGACGCUGAGGCGCGAAAGCUAGGGGAGCAAACGGG
rnacentral:rRNA from 1 species